CCCACUCAGCUGACUGAUCAAUAAAGAACUUGAAGCCGUCUUCUAGACUCCCGUGCCUCCUUGGGGUAAUUGGGCAGCUCCAGGGGGAAACGAGCCCAUUUGGCUAACAAUGGCACCCCAGAUGGGACUUCUCUCCCUGUAGAGGGCACUGACCGACGGCCGAGGGCGAUUCCGAGGAGUGGCCACCUCGAGCUGUUGGUUUGCUCGGGCCUCAGAUCGUCACAAUCGGCCGGGGCGGCUGCGUCCUCUCUGAAGAGAACUCUGAAGGACACGGAAGCAAGACGGCUUCAGAAGGAGGGGAAGUCUGACUGCCAGACGCGGCCACUUCGGGCGCUGCAUCGAUACACGGUGCCUUUUCAGGCCCUUCCCUUGGACCAGCCCGUGCACCCGUUCCAGAUCGGUGAUCAGGUCCUUGUCAAGAAGUGGAAGCGUGACCCCCUUACACCACGGUGGGAUGGCCUGCACACGUCUUGCUCAUCAGCCAAGCUGCAGUCAAAGUUCUUGGGAGUGACAAAUGGACACACCAUACGCGGGUAAAGCGGUUUCUGAACCCUAACCUGGAGACUGAACUAGCAGAAGAGGACACCAGCCCUCUGCCCGCCCCGGCUCCGGACGCCCGGGGUGGCACAGGUGAAGACUCCACCUGGGAGUAUCAGUACUUGGACGGACUAAAGGGACUGUUUAGAAAAAGAUAAUGAAAUUAUUGUUAAUAUCUUUGUUUAUGUGCUUCCACCACUAUUAUGGUUGGGAAAAUAGGUUUUUACAGCUGGGGGAGACAAUAGCAAAAUCCUUUAACCUCAGUAACUGUUGGGUAUGCGGAGGCCCAGGGGAAUUAAAUGAAUGGCCUUGGGUAGCCCAGCCGGUACAGCCCAAAUGGUGGCUCAGCAAUUUGAGUAUAGUCCACGAUGGAACGGGGGUUUGGACUGAGGAUAGUAGCCCCUGGCGACUGUAUUCUUCUGGAAUGGGUAUUCUCUGCCUUAAUCGGACAAGGCGGGAGGGAGUGUACUUGGGAGAAAGCAAGUGUGAUUGGACUCUAUCCCCAGGGUUUGAUUGCUGGGACCCUUAUUGUCGUCCGUAUGACUGUUCUAAAUAUCAGGGGCGAUGGAACCAGACCCAUGUGAGGCUCACCAAUAAUAGUUGGGUGAAGUGCUCCAAACAAUACUACCCUGCGGCCGAAGGUUGUAGGGCGGUAGGACAGGAUGGGUUAUUAUAGCUCUAUUAAUGCUAGCUUGCUUUGCUCCCUGCAUAGUUGCAUUGACCCGACGAAUGACUAAUCAAAUCGUACACCAACAAAUGAUGGCACUAUACCAGCCGGUAAAAGCUGAGGACUGGGGGCCAUAAAGCUCUCAAAAUGUUUUUAAGGGGGGGGAACCUUGUUAGAGCAAAGGUCAACUACUGCCUAUUAUCCCCGCUGUUCCCCAUGGCCAUAGCCUGUUUCCCGGAUAUAUGUAUAGCAAGACAAUCAAUCAAGGAAGUCGGACAUAUGCAUCCUGAAGACCCCCAGAAGAAUAAUCAAUCAAGGAGGUCCAACAGAUGUAUCCAAUUUACCCCUAGAAAGGAAUUUAAAAAUUCCAUAGGUUAGCAGAAUGUAUGCACGCUAAGUUGUUUGUUACUGGGUAUAAAAAGGCCUGCUUUGCGCUUGUAAGGUGUGUCUCUCUCUCUGGCACUAGCCGAGGGGAGCACCCACUCAGCUGACUGAUCAAUAAAGAACUUGAAGCCGUC